rnacentral:rRNA from 1 species
GCCAUAGAGCUAGCCACACUACCUGCCCAAGUGCACACAAAUACAUAACCACAAAUAAAUCAAAAACCACAAACUAAACCAUUCUACCACCCAAGUAUGUGCGACAGAAAAGGAAAAUCGAGCAAUAGAGAAAGUACCGCAAGGGAAAGCUGAAAGAGAUAUGAAACAGCCCACCAAAGCACAAAAAAGCAGAGACUAAACCUCGUACCUUUUGCAUCAUGAUCUAGCCAGAACAAUCAGGCAAAGAGCCCUACAGUCUGACCCCCCGAAACUAAGUGAGCUACUCCAAGACAGCAUAUUAGAGCCAACCCGUCUCUGUGGCAAAAGAGUGGGAAGAUCUUUGAGUAGAGGUGAUAAACCUAACGAACUUAGUGAUAGCUGGUUGCUUAGGAAAUGGAUAUAAGUUCAGCUUCGUGCCAUUCUCAGAUCAACAUAAUAAGAACCAACAAGAACCUAAGAAGACAGAGAAGUUAGCUAAAGGAGGUACAGCUCCUUUAGAAAAGAACACAAUCUUGACAGAUGGAUAAGGAUCAUACUAAACAAGGUUUACUCCUACAGUGGGCUUAAGAGCAGCCACCUGAAUAGAAAGCGUUGAAGCUCGGGCAGAAAUAAAAGCCAAUUAUCCUGAUAUAAACUCCAACUCCUCCAACUAUACUAAGCCACUCUAUGUAAACAUAGAAGAAACAAUGCUAGAAUCAGUAACAGGGGGGGGCACGCCCCCCUCCCGGCACACGUGUAAGUCAGAUCGGACCCACCACUGACAAAUAAAGAGCCCAACAAAAGAGGGCAUCGCAGACCAAACAAAAACCAAGAAAAGCCUGCAACCUAAUAUCGUUAGCCCAACACAGGAGUGCCAACAUAGGGAAAGACCCAAUGAAGAAAGAAGGAACUCGGCAACCACGGGCCCCGCCUGUUUACCAAAAACAUGGCCUCUUGCAACCCAUAAAUAAGAGGUCCAACCUGCCCAGUGACAAUAAGUUUAACGGCCGCGGUAUUUUAACCGUGCUAAGGUAGCGUAAUCACUUGUCUUUUAAAUGAAGACCCGUAUGAAAGGUGUCACGAGGGCCCCCCUGUCUCCUACUUCAAGUCUGUGAAAUUGAUCUACCCGUGCAGAAGCGGGUAUAACAACAUAAGACGAGAAGACCCUGUGGAGCUUAAGACGAAUCAACCAAUCGUGCCUAACAGCCAAUCCCCCUAACAGGAAAUAAAAAGCUAAACAAGCAUAACGACCCAUGAUUGAACUGUCUUCGGUUGGGGCGACCGUGGGGGAUAAAAAAGCCUCCAAGAGGAAACAGGGGACCAGUUCAACCGAUCCCUAAGAGCCAAGAGCCACCGCUCUAAGCAACAGAAAACUCUGACCAAUAAUGAUCCAGGCAUUCGCCUGAUCAGCGAACCAAGUUACCCCAGGGAUAACAGCGCAAUCCUUUCCCAGAGCCCAUAUCGCCGAAAGGGUUUACGACCUCGAUGUUGGAUCAGGACAUCCUGGUGGCGAAAAUUCUACCAAGGGUUCGUUUGUUCAACGAUUAAAGUCCUACGUGAUCUGAGUUCAGACCGGAGCAAUCCAGGUCGGUUUCUAUCUAUGCAUUUCCCCUUCCUAGUACGAAAGGACCGGAAGGAGGAGGGCCAAUGUUCAAAACACGCCCCACCCCCAAUCAAUGAAAACAACUAAAAUAUUAAAGGGGAAUAUAACCACAGCCCAAGACAAGGGCUA